rnacentral:rRNA from 1 species
CAGUCGCCGCGGGAAUACGGAGGGGGCUAGCGUUGUUCGGAAUUACUGGGCGUAAAGCGCACGUAGGCGGCUUUGUAAGUUAGAGGUGAAAGCCUGGAGCUUAACUCCAGAAUUGCCUUUAAGACUGCAUCGCUUGAAUCCGAGAGAGGUGAGUGGAAUUCCGAGUGUAGAGGUGAAAUUCGUAGAUAUUCGGAAGAACACCAGUGGCGAAGGCGGCUUACUGGCUCAUUCUAGACGCUGAGGUGCGAAAGCGUGGGGAGCAAACAGGAUUAGAUACCCCUGUAGUCCCUGUCUCUUAUAC